AGCAGAAGCAUCUGAGGCCGAGAACCAGUGUGGAUCCUUGAAGAUGGACGCUCUGAUUGUGAAGCUGCUCCAGCUCCAGAGGGCAGCGCGGCUUGGAGAGUGGAGUCACCACGUUGUGGGCAGCGGCGUGUCACCAGCCCAAAUUCCUGGAGACCCAAGCUCAGGGCGGCCAGGGAUAAGGACCAGGAGCAGAGCAGAUGCAGCUCCUCGCCCACAGGCCAGAUGAGGAGCCCCCUACACAACAAGAAGCAGAAACUCCUCCAACUCCUGUAAAAUCCAAAAUAAAAUGUUUGGAAGUGAUUUAUUUAUAAGAGGAACUCCUACACUCUGCCCUAAAGAUCGACAGCAGAAUGAAGCUGAAUACAGGUCACAAGAUGUAAACCGGAGGCAGACAAGUGGAAACAGUGUGGUCUACAGCCACGUCUUGACCUCUGGGAGCAGAACUCAGCAGCUGUAAUUAUUAAAAGGUUACAGGAAUUACAGUUUCACGUUCUUAAUUUUUAUGAUCCUCUUUAAAAUGAAUUAGAAAAGAGUGGGUUGUCAUUCCUUUUUUUUUCCAACAAAGGAUAUAUAAUAAUUUGUUUUGUUUAAACCAAACCUUGCCUACUGCCUGUGACCUUACUCACUGAACAAGCCCGGUUCAGAGGAAAGCUUGGUGUAAAGCAAUUACAGAAUCACUUCUUCAUCUUCCGUUCUGAGCCAUCUCCCCUUGUCUUCUGCAGUCACUGUGCUGGUUUCCCUCUAGAUGUUCAGUCAUGGCACCCCUCAGUCCUGCUUCCUCUCUGAUGGCUUCCUUUCACCUUCUAGCAAGAAUUUUGUUUGUCUUCUAUAAGUUUUUUUCCUGGUCUUAAAAGUUACAGUUAUAGUAAAAAUAUGAAGGAA